GAUGAACGCUGGCGGCGUGCCUAAUACAUGCAAGUCGAGCGAACAGACGAGGAGCUUGCUCCUCUGACGUUAGCGGCGGACGGGUGAGUAACACGUGGAUAACCUACCUAUCAGACUGGGAUAACUUCGGGAAACCGGAGCUAAUACCGGAUAAUAUAUUGACCCGCAUGGUUCAAUAGUGAAAGACGGUUUUGCUGACACUUAUAGAUGGAUCCGCGCCGCAUUAGCUAGUUGGUAAGGUAACGGCUUACCAAGGCAACGAUGCGUAGCCGACCUGAGAGGGUGAUCGGCCACACGGGAACUGAGACACGGUCCAGACUCCUACGGGAGGCAGCAGUAGGGAAUCUUCCGCGAUGGGCGAGAGCCUGACGGAGCAACGCCGCGUGAGUGAUGAAGGUCUUCGGAUCGUAAAACGCUGUUAGUAGGGAAGAACAAAUGUGUAAGUAACUAUGCACGUCUUGACGGUACCUAAUCAGAAAGCCACGGCUAACUACGUG
rnacentral:rRNA from 1 species